GAGGAUCAAAUCUUGGGCUAAAAUUAGACUUACGAAGACAUAAAUGAUUGAGAAGGUUGCAAUUGUCCAAUAUCGUCCCAUAUAGGCAUCGGCUAGAAAGGCUCCCAGCAGAGGUGUGACAUAGCACGUACCAGACCAAUUCGUAACGUUAGUAACUGCCACAACAUUGUUCUUGUUCAUUUGAAAUUUGAGAUAAUUUACCAGAUUUGUGUUGAUCCCAUAAUAUGCCAACCUCUCACAACAUUCAUUUCCUAUUCAACCAAACAAUAUUGGAAACAUAAAGCGAAAAAACAACAAAAUCGAGAGAUGUUAAAACAUUUCAUCUACGAAAUGAAGAAGAGAUACCAAGGAUGUAAGGACAUGCUUUCCAGGUCCCAGUUUCCCGUUUGAUUGCAGGUUUAUUACAAUAAUCUGUCGUCCCAUCUUUCGUAUAUAUAUCUUCUUCAGCCAUGAUUUUAGAUACAGAAAGUCACUCAAUUUUCAGUGUUUGAUGCCUCAAUUCUGCUCAAGUAAUUUAAGGAAGCCAGAGAGAGAAAGAGUAUUGAAAAGUGUAAAUAAAUAUGAGCAAAUAGUAAUAGCUGGUCAAUCUUAUAAUUUCCAUGCACAACUACAGAUAAGAGGUAGGUCUUGAGUUUUAGAAGACCAAAGCCCUUAUCUUAUUAUAUAUAAAAGGAAAGGUGAAAAUAUCAUACUGCAUUGCAUCACUUUUUUCCACGAUAGCGAGUAGUUCCAAUUCCAGACCUAUUUUCAUCAAACUCCAAAAUUCACCAGCAGUGAUUACCUUCCAUCUCUCCUUAAAAAAACCUAAGCUUUGAACUUAAUCUCGUGAAAUCCUUUAUCAUGGUUGCAAAGCAUAGUAAAAGAACCAGAAGGUUGACCGUGAUGUUUGUAGCUCUAUCAAGUAGGUACACCAAAUACUUGCAAACCAGUAUCGCUAAGAGUAAAGGUGGAAUCCGUUACGAUCUUGGACAUCAUCAAAGAAGGGUGUUUUCUACGCCUAUGCUUAACAUGACUCAAUAAUAGAAGACAUUUCUUUGGUGCCCCACUUUUAUUAUUCUCCUUCUCUACCUUAAGUCUUUAUCGAGCAGUCACAUUUGAUGCGUAGUGUUAAAUCGUGUUAGACAAUACUUCUAUUUCUUUCUUCACNAAACCUAAACACCCAAGGAUUCUACAUCAACCCUAACACCACUUGUCAAACAAUUCCAUUACAAGUAGGACAUUCUUUAUAAUAGAAAUUCCCUUGGAUAAAAACAUCCAACCAACACAAUCCUACUAGGAGUACACUACCUACUCCUAUAAAAGCAGAACCUUGGGCCAUUAUUCAGGUACGUU
rnacentral:sRNA from 1 species